CUAUGACUAAAAUUAGUCAUGGCGGAAGGAG
rnacentral:ncRNA from 1 species